rnacentral:rRNA from 1 species
UACGAAGGGGGCUAGCGUUGCUCGGAAUUACUGGGCGUAAAGGGCGCGUAGGCGGACAGUUUAGUCAGAGGUGAAAGCCCAGGGCUCAACCUUGGAAUUGCCUUUGAUACUGGCUGUCUUGAGUUCGGGAGAGGUGAGUGGAAUGCCGAGUGUAGAGGUGAAAUUCGUAGAUAUCGGGAGGAACACCAGUGGCGAAGGCGGCUUCCUGGCCUGUUCUUGACGCUG